rnacentral:rRNA from 1 species
CCUACGGGUGGCAGCAGUGAGGAAUAUUGGUCAAUGGACGAGAGUCUGAACCAGCCAAGUAGCGUGAAGGAUGACUGCCCUAUGGGUUGUAAACUUCUUUUAUAUGGGAAUAAAAUGUUCCACGUGUGGGAUUUUGUAUGUACCAUAUGAAUAAGGAUCGGCUAACUCCGUGCCAGCAGCCGCGGUAAUACGGAGGAUCCGAGCGUUAUCCGGAGUUAUUGGGUUUAAAGGGAGCGUAGGUGGAUUGUUAAGUCAGUUGUGAAAGUUUGCGGCUCAACCGUAAAAUUGCAGUUGAAACUGGCAGUCUUGAGUACAGUAGAGGUGGGCAGAAUUCGUGGUGUAGCGGUGAAAUGCUUAGAUAUCACGAAGAACUCCGAUUGCGAAGGCAGUUCACUGGACUGCAACUGACACUGAGGCUCGAAAGUGUGGGUAUCAAACAGGAUUAGAUACCCCAGUAGUC